UCAGGUCAAGAAGAGGUUAUUGGGGUUGCAGCAGGAACUCUGGGGGCCUUUUUGCUUUGCAGUCUGAUCAGUCUUUUUGUAUGGAGGAGAAACUCGAGGCUCCACAAUGGACUUGAAAGGACAGACAGUCCACAGGGACAGCAACCAGUGAUCCGGGUCAACCACAUCAAUGUAACAGUAUAACUUCAGUGUCUCUCCUCGCCCCUACCUGGGCUCGAACCAGGGACUCUCAGCACACAUCAACAUCUGACACCCACGAAGCAUCGUUACCCAUCACGCCACAAAAGCUACAGCCCUUGCAAGAUUGAAUCGUACUA